GCUGGUCUCAAACUGCUGACCUCGUGAUCCACCCACCUCGACCUCCCAAAGUGCUGGGAUUACGGGUGUGAGCCACUGCUCCCAGCCUAGUUACUGUUUUUAACUGCGACUUCUAGUAUUGGUUGUGUAUGAAGUUACUGAUAUAAAUAAAUUUUAUGCUUACUGAUCUUUCAAAAGACCUUUUUAGUACAAACUUCUGGGGAAUGUUUAUAUAUGGUACCUACUCUUUACCAGUCAAGAGUAGAAAUCUGUAAAAUACAGUUUUCUACAGGCAUUCAUUCCUUAUUAUGACUUCAAAACCAUGCUCUACUUCUCUGUUGAGGAAAUAAUGCAAUUACAAAAGCAGAAUGUAUUUGGAGAAUUCAUUUGCUAAUGAGUAUUAGUAGUUCUUUAUAUUUCUAAAGAGCUUUAUAGGAAUUAAGGGCCACAUGCUAUUUCAAUAGACAGAAGCUUCCUAUACUCUAAAAAUUCUCUGAACUAUAAAACUACAAGAAUAAGUACACCGUAACACAUUCUUUCUAAUGCAGAGAGAAAAGAUACAUUUCCCAACUGAACAUAACCAUUUGUCUCAAUGGUUUUGGUAUCAUGACAAAUGUAUUUAUGUGCAAGAAAAUAUAAAUGUAUUCUUCAUGAAGUGUGUUCACUGCUUCUAGGAUCCAAAUGGGAAGCAGAGCAUUUGCUCCAUCUUAAAUCUUGCUAGAAUCUGAACAGUUUUAGAAAUGUGCUUUGGCUUCUUGUUUAAAAUACUUCUCAUGCACAAGCAGUAAUAGAAAAUGGCUCAGAACAUAAAAAGAUUGCAAUUUCCCAGAUGAACACAAAAUGGUAACUUUUUGACCAGUCAACAUUGGUCUGAAACCCCAUGAACUAGCUGACAAAUGUAAUGUUUGGGAGCUCUUAAUUACCCAUGCUAACAGAAGGUCAUGGCAGCUAGAAUAACCCCCAAGAGCAAACACCUCACCUCCAUUGCACCAAAUUUUGGCAUUCACUAUGUAACCCACCUGCUUUUAGCAAUAAAUCUCAUUUCCUACUUAGUGAAAUCAAAAUUUUAAAAUUGAAUUGGAUGUUGAACAUCAUUCAAUGCAGUCUUUAUUUUCCCAGUGAGGAGCCUUCAGAUCUCAGCAACAGUGAUAAAUAGAACCUGGGUUUUCUGAUCUCCAGUUUAAAAAGAUUUCUACUCUGUUUUAGAUAGGCAUCAUGAGGUCAAGGAAGAAAUUGUGUAUUUUGAGGAUAAAAUAUCCAGGAAAAAGAGAAUCCAAAUGACCAGUGAGGAGAAAAUAGAAGAGAAAGUUACAUAGAAUGGGUUUUCAGUGAAAUUUGAAGUGUAAAGGCAUGCACAGUGUACAGUGCAAGUAGCUAUAGACCAAGCAUGUUGCAAUGCUAAGUACUAGGUGUGUUCUCUGUAAAAGCAACAAUAAUUUUCAUUCUCUACCUUUCUUGGGAGGGUAAUUGGAGAUUUAACUCAGAUACCACAGGUAUUUUUAAAUAGCCAUAGUCCAAACAUAGCAACAAAAAGCUAACUUUAUCCAACUUCAGUUUAAUUAAAAGCAUGUACCAGAUAAGAUUUAUUGUGAUAGUUAAUAUUGCAUAUGCAUAAAGUCACUGGCACAGAAACAUCUAACGUAUGUAUAGCAAAGGAAAAAGGCAAAGAGCUCAACUUCAUCUCUUUUAUCGUUUUUUCAGGAGAAAUAUCUCAUGCGUUACCAUGUUUGGAAUAUUUCCUAGCAUGUGCAAAAAGCAAGGAAUAAACAAUAAUUCAAUGUGCCUAAUGGCAUAAAAUAAAAGGAUUAUUCACAAACAGAAAACUGGACUUUUGAGCAGAUGUUUAUUUAAAUACAAACAGCAACUCCUACUUUUCCUGUUAUCUCCAAUUAUGUGAUGCAACAUUUUUAGCAGAAGAAGUGCUUUUUAAAAACAGCCUUCCAGGGAGUGAAUAAACAAUACUAUAUUUGGCUAGCAGCUGCUUUUGGAAAAUGAGAUGUCAGCAAAGCUGAAUAUUGUUUAAAGAAAACUAAUUAUCCAGCUACCUUUGACUUGGAUCAGAGUAAAUAAAGCACUUCCUGAUUUGCACUGAAAUGUUUUGUCUAGAAUUUAAAUAUUAGGUAUUAGUCAGAUACUUCUCUUCUUCCUUCGCUUGCCUUGUGGACCCAAUGGAUUUAAAUAAGUACCCUUUGUGUUUGGUUGUGCUGCCAGUACCCCUUUAUGUUUUCUGGAGUGCCUAGCAUUUGUUGCUUCUUUUCUUAUUUGCCAUCCACUAGUUAUUGUGUUAGGUGUAAAGCAGUGUGUUUAUGGUUACAUUAAAAUCUAGGUAAUCUAUGAUAAUAUAGGAUGGUUGCAUUUGUAUACAUUUAAUUAUGCAAAUGUAAAAUAUAUAUUUUAUGAGUAAUUUUUAAAUUCUAUUUAAAAAUUAUGUGUAGAAUUUGAAUGAAUGUAAAUACCCUCCAUUUUUGAAAAUUCAUUUCAAGGUUAGCAAGCCAAAGAAGCUGCAAACUGGUUUAUACUAUUGCCACAUGGCACUUUGGCCAGUAAAGAGAAAUUCCUGCAGCCCUUUUUCAGGGUUGCAUGCAUCAGCCUGCAGUGUCCUUGGAUCACAGCUCCUGCAAGUACCUGUGGUGAUACCUUUCUACUUGUUUUAACAUUUACUAUAAUUUGAAAUACUUUUAUAUUCUAAAGCAAUCUCACCUGAGCACUCAUUAAGUGCGGGUGACAUAGUGGGCCUGAGAAUUAGGAAAUUUUGAAGAACUUGAGAUGUUAUUUUAAUGUCACAAAGAAGGCCAAACAACUUCCAUAGUACAUUUUACAGUGAGCAAUUCAUACAACAGUAUACAACAGUGAUGAUCUUGAGAAAAAUAAAAAGCUGCAUUAAAAUACACAUAUACAAUAGUUACAGAUUUCAAGGAAGUGUCUCCCUACUUAAUACUUUACUGUGGAAAAAUUUGUGUUGAAUUGUGCAAGUUUUUCAAGAAUAUAUUCUCUCUAUAAAAUCUGGUAUAUGAUAUUCAUGUAAGGAGUGUUAAUAGAAAACAAUUCUAAGACAAGCAGAAAUUUAAUGGUUCUAUAAAUGUUUGUUCAUCCAAUGAAUAUUGAGCACCUAUUAUGAGUCAGAUACUGUGCUAGGACAUGAGGACAUAUUAAUAGUUUUGAACUUAAUAGGUUUAUACUUCUUUACCUCCAUUCAUGAGAGAUUAUAUGCAAGUGAAUACAUGUAACAGGAUCUUAGAAUGGAACUCUUCCUGCCUCAGUUUUGACUAAAGACAAUAAGGUAAUUUCCAGAAUUCCAUAUCUGAUAUACAUAUUUAUAAGGAAAUGGCUCUAAGAACCUGUCCCACUACUUGUAGGUUCAGGAUAAGCUACAUAAUUUGUGGGGCCCAGUGCAAAAUGAAAGUGCAGGGCCUCUUGUUAAAAAACUAUUAAAUUCCAGAUAGCAACAGCUGAGCAUUAAACCAAGCAUAGGGCCCUUCUAAGUGCCCUGUGUGACUGCACAGGUCAGACAUCCAUGAAGUGUCACCCUGCUUGGAUCCUUCAGCCAAAGAAAGAAAAUGAAAAGGGCAUAGAGUGAAGAAGGGAGAUUUGGGGGAGGGUGAUUUUUGGAAGCUGUUACAUGCUUUUAGAAUGCUGCCAUCUAACACAUGCUCAAUGGAGAGGGCUUCAAAGGGACCUCUUGAGGAGCUCUGAAACAUGCCUGUUUGAAGUCUCAUUUACGCUCAGACUCGCCUGGGGUGUAAAGCCUACCCAAACGAUCUACAGGACUGUCAGGAGAAUGCCACUGUGGUAGAAUGCCACUGCUCGCCUAGAGGUGAUGGGGGCAGGGGUUAAUUGCCUAACCAUGUUGGGGCCAAGAGGGAGAGAGAGUUGGAAAGGGGAAGUCUUGGGCCAGUAUGCCCUUGGCAAUUGCAUCAAGUCCUGCCUCCAAAACAAAGAUAAUAGAGUCUCUUCCUACCAUUUAGAGCAGCCAGGCCCGCAUCACUCAUACUCCUCCAAGCUCCUUUGUAAAAUUAAAAUUUAAUGUAUUAUGAAAUAUUUUAAAUGCAACAUUAUCAAUAACUAUACAGUGACCUCAUGUAUCCAUCACUCAGUUUCAUUAUUAUUACAUUUGAAACCCUCAAUGUCUCUCUCCCUGAUUACAUGCCCCUUUUGCCCUUAAAAUAAAGAUUGAUUUCUUUAUUCUUUUUCAGCUUUUACAAUCUAUCUAGCUAUCUGUCAUCAUCAUAUUGCAUAUAAAGGGUAUUACACUACACAUUUUGAAAUUUAUUUGUCUGGCUCUGCUUUGUGAGAGUUCUCCAUGUUGAUAAAUGUAGCUAUAGUUCAUUUGCUUUCACUGCUCUAGGGUAUUUCACUGUGUGACUCUACCACAAUUCAUUGAUCUAUUCUGUCGAUAGACACUUGUUUCUCAUGUUUUGCUUUUAAGAACAAUGAGGCUAUAAGUUCUAGUGUAUAUGUCUCCAUUUUCUUGGGCAAGGUUGUGUUUGUUUCCUUUGCAGAUCAACUCCUUGCCCUUAUGCUGCUCUGCUCUGUAUCUCGGGACCAGACCCACAUGGGUUGCAUUUCCCAGGCCCCUGUAUCUACCCGGCUUGUUUUUCAGUUUAGGCACUGGUGGGAGAGGGGAGAGAGAAGCCAGAGUGCUUGGCUCCGUAUCUGCCAGUCUCAGAUGGCCUCAUUCUGCACAUCUAGCACCCACUGGACAGACCCACCCCAGUUCUAUCCUUCUCUCAGAAAAGCCAGUUAACUCCUGGUGGGGCUACCCUUUUGUCUUAGACUGGGGUGCCAGAGGUUUCCUGAAGUUGCUCACUCCUGGUUGCCUCGCUGACUACUCUUUGACUUAACUCUUUCAAUUCCCAGAUAACCUAUUCUGUGGAUUAAACCCCUUCUGUUUCAAUACUUGGAAUGAUUUUUUGUUUUCAUGGUUGUAGGUAUGGUUGUAUACAUCUUCAACUCCAAAUGACUCUCCACACAUGCUGAUUUAGACCUCUGCCUGCAGUGUGUAAGAGUUCUCGUUGUUAUAAUCUUCACCAAUAUUAGGUAUUACCACACUUUUUAGGUUUUACUAAUCUGACUGGCCUGAAGCAAUAUUUCACUGAAGUUUUCAUUUCAUUUCCUUUAUAUAUUAUUGACCAUUCAGGUUUUCCCUUUGGUCAAUUGCAUGUUUGCCCAUAUUUUGAUUGUUUGGUUCUUACUGACUUACAGGAGUCACUUAUAUCUACAAGCAAAUCUUUUGUUAUAUGUGUGGCAAAUAUCUUCUCCCAUUCUUGGUCUUGUCUUGCCAUUUUUCAGUGAUAUCUUUUCACAGACAGAAGUUUCUAAUUUUAGUGUGGUUCUCAAAUACUUUUAAUGUUUCCCUGAGUGGUGCAGAAGAUUGCUGAUGAGACAGGACCCUCCAAUCAUGAGCUAACCUGUAAACCAGGCGUGUCUUAUCUGUGUUGACAAGUCUUCUGCAACCCAAUCCCCUGGACAGGGCAUGUGCAGAGAAGUGGUUCAUAGCUGGCUAGCCAAGGAACACAGAUGGCUGGACUCAAGAAACAUCAGGCUCUAUUUGCUGCAGAUCCCAGCCAGGAGACUAGAGGAGGUGUGGCUUCACUAGGGGCAACUUCCAGGCUUUUCUAGCCUAACUGUACUCCAGGUUCAGCUGAACUCAAGCCUAUAAUGGGAACUUGUUUCUCUCCAUUUUUACCGAGCCUGGUUUGGAAAGUUUAUUGGAUAGGGCAAGUCCCUGAAACGUAACCAGCUCCAUGCAAUGUGGCCAACUGGCAGCCAAGAGCCAUGCUGAGUUGGAGCAGAGAAUACACCGACACUGUAUGGCCAGAGCCUAGUGCUGCCAUGGGAAGCCUAGAGAGCUGAGCAUGACUCCUCAGCAGGCUGAAGAAUGAGCUUAGGACCUGCCUGAUGCUUCCCUGGCUGCAUAGGCUUGGACGUUCGUCUCUCCACUGGCAAUGGCAGCCUCGAGUAUAAACCCACUGCGAGGACUGACUCCCCAGAGCAAAGGUCAGGAGCUUGUGUAACGUGUAUUUUAGAACAGUUAUACUUGCAUAUGCUAUUUUUAAAAUUCAAAGAAUAUAACAAAAAGAACACAAAUUCUUAAUUCUUCUCAUCAGCUGGGUUCUCACCUCUCACUCCCCUCUCCAGCUCCUUAACAUUUUCUUUAUACAAACUCAAGCAAAUUUGAAUAUAUCUUGUUAUACUUCCCAAUUUUUAUACAAAAAUAACAUACAGGCAGUUUUUAAAAAAACUACAGAUUUAAGUGAUGUUUAAUUGAUAGUUUUUAAACUCAGGUUUUAAUUUUUAAUUAGAUAUUUCCUGUGAAUUGACUAUCAUUUGGAUAAUUUUUCCUUAUCUCCUAUGACAAUUUUCAAGUUUUCUUUUAAGAGUCUGUGGUUAGUCACCAGUGCAAGACAAGUAAGUCUGGGGUGUCUUUGUUUUUAUUAUUUCAGAAUCGGAAAAGUUUAUAUGUGUUUGGUAAAGAAAAUUUGAAGAAAAGAGAAACCACAAAAAAGAGUAAUCCUACUACUCAGAAAUAUGUAAUGAUGACUGUUAUUGUGUUUAGGACUCUGGUACUGUAUAAUAGAUAUCUUGAAUGUCCCAAUAAAACACAAACAAAAGUAACAUUUACUUUAAACUGUAAAGUGGAGAAGCAUUAAUUUACCAUGAAAUCACAAAUGUUCAAAAUUUCCAAGUUCAUGGGUGACAGCAAUGAGAUGUGUUUGUCGAUGUGUAUUAACUUGCUCUCUCUAUAUUUUAUUUUUAUCUAUAUAUCCUCUUUAUUUUAUUUUAUUUUAUUUUUUUUUUUUUGAGACAGGGUCAGGCUCAGGCUGGAGUGCCGUGAUGGCUCACUGCAGCCUCCAUCUCCUGGGCUCAAGCUAUCCUUCCUGCCUCAGCUUCCUAAGUAGUUGGGACUACUGGUGUGCACCACCAUGCCCGGCUAAUUUAAAAAUUUUUUGAAGAGAUGGUGGUCUCACUUUGUUGCCAAGGCUGGUCUCGAACUCCUGGGCUUAAGUGAUCAUCUCACCUCAGCCGCCCAAAGUUCUAAGAUUACAAACAGGAGCCACUGUGCCCGGCCUUAUUUUAUUUUUAAAAGGAGUCUUAAAUAGAGAUACAUGUUGAUUAUGUGCAUAGUAUAAGGAAUUUCAUCACCCC
rnacentral:lncRNA from 1 species